GACACCCACUACAAAGAUAAGUGCCCCUAUGGCCUUCCAGGGGACAGCCCCAGCAGAAUCUUAACACUCCUGUAAGAUCUCUUUAUCCCCUGCUUCCAGGAUCCUGGUGCACCCAUCCUUCUGCCUGGAAUAUCCUCUUCUCUCCUCUAAUCUGCUCCCUUGCCACCUUCCCCACCUCCCCACUGGUCUAAGUCCUCUCUGUCUUCUCUGUUCUUCCAGCAAACUCCAAUGUCAUCUCCUCCAUGAAGCCCUGGCUGCCACUCACAGAGAAGCAGGCUGAGUCCUGCACCAGGAUGCCUGGCUGAGGAGCAGAGUGGCAUAAAAGCAUUUGCUCUUUGUUUGCAGGCCGCUGGGCCCAGGAGGCUGGGUCUGUUCAGGUUCACAACUUCUCCAGCCCUCCACGAAGAAGCUGGAAGGAGCAGGGUGCACAGGCUCUUUGAAGAUGCUGAGUGAGGUCCCAGGGCACCCACAGGAGCUGCCACCUCAGCUCAGGGGACACAGCUACUCUGAGCCCCUUUGCUCAUGGGGGAAAGGGCGGGGGAAGCAUGCUAUCCCGCCCCCGCUCCCUACCCCAAAAAAGCUGCUUUGUCUUCAGAGGACCAGGAGUCCUGAUUGGGCAGCCUCUGCCGGGAAUGAAAUGCAUGUCCUUCGCACUUCCACUACCGUUCUAUUUUCAGGCUGAUUUAUAACUAAAACGUGAAAUAAGUGCUAGGAAAGCAUUUAGCAUUGUCUGACACUGCCUCAGCACACUCAGUUUCCUCUCUCUUCUUCAUCAGAAUCUCUGCCCGGCCAGGCAGCAGGCGCUGACUCUCGCACUGUCCGGUUCGAAGAGCUGUUUUCUGCAGGUACUUGCAGUAGCAGCUGGCCUGGGACCCACCCCCGGGCAAAGUCCGCUCCGGAGUCUGUCACUUCCCGGCGCGGGCCACCCAGCCCCUGGCGCCCUGGCGCUCAGCGCUCCGCGGGCGCGCCCUCUGGCGGCAAGAGCCCUGAACAUUUCGCAAGCGGCGAAGGCUGGCGCGUGUUAUCCUGGGCACCCACCGGACCGAAUCGCUGGGCAGGGCUGCAAGGUGACUUGCUAACGCAAUCAGACCAGAAAGGAGCGCGCGUCUAACUAAGCGGGGGAGGGGAGAAGCAUGUUCAUAUUUUGUAAAAUGCAAGUGGCACCUCUCCCCAUUUUCCUCAAAAUUUUAUUCUGAAAAACUUUAGUACUUAAAAGUUCAAAUGCUUUUACAGUGGACACACAUUUAUCUAUCAGCUAGAUUCUGUUAUUCACAUUUUACUCUAUUGGUUUCAUUGCAUAUCUGUCCAUCUAUUCAUCCCUCUUUCCAUCCUUCAAACUAUCUUAUUUUUUCUUUUUCUUGUUC
rnacentral:lncRNA from 1 species